AUUGCAUGAAGAUUUAAAAGCUCCCUGCCUGAUCUCCCACAUUAGCUUCCAGAACUCCAAAGAAUAGACAGCUGAGUGUAAAGUGUUACUACCUACACUGAGUGAACUGAGAUGGUGAUGCUAAUCUGCAGUUCCAGAAAAGCAACCAAGGAAUCCACAUUAAAGUCUGUGAAACAAAGCAUCACAAAGGCCAUUAAAUGAGAUUACAUUGGAAUAAUUCCUAUGGAAUGGAGAAUAGCUGAAGUCUAUAAAAUAUUGAAAGAGAACCACCAACGCAUCAAUCUGGACAUAAUGGAGGAUGACAAUGCUUCAACUAAAUCCAAAUUCCUCAAACCCAAGCAUCACAAAAAAGCGAUUUUCAAACUUUUCUGUGGAGUAUCACUAGGAAAGACUGACAUUCGAAAAUAUAUGCUGACCUAUUUGGAAAAGGCUGACUUUUUUAAAAAAAUGAUUCAUCACGUGUGGCCAAUUCUGACAAGAUCACAUGUGCUCACCAUCCCAAAGUACCCUUAAACUGGUGUAGUCCUUAUAACUAUAUUGGUAUUAGAUUAAAAAUUAAAAUUAUAGUGAAGAAGCAGUGAUGGAUAUCCAAGUUAGGAUGUUGAACAACAGGGAGAAAAGCAUGCAGGGGAUAGUGUUUGUAUGAUGUUGCUGCUCUUCUCCUUAAGAGACCGGAGAGCUGUGAGAUGCUGUCAAAGCAAGGGUUACAAGUUGCUGUGGAGUAUCCAAAAGAAUUGUCAUAUCAUAGUCACAGCACAGAUGGAGGAGUUGGAUAUUGAAUUCACUGGCAGAAGCACUGGUCAAGUAGACUGCUUUUAUCUGGAUGGGAUCAAGCUGCUUGAGUGUUGUAUCUGCAUCCAUCCAGCUGAGUGACAAAAAAAGCUUUGAGUCAGGAGAUGAACUAAUUGUUAUAGUGUCCAACAUCAUCUUUAUUCUCCUGGCUACAUUGUUGAUAAAGUCAGCCCAGUUAAGUUUCAAAUUAGUAGAAACCCUCAAGAUAUUGAUAGUGAUGGUUCAGCCAUAAUGUAGCUGUCGAAUAUCAAUGGAUAUGGCUAGAAUUUCUCUUAUCUGGCACUUGCAUAAUAUGAAUACUAUUUGCCAGCUGGAGCAUGGAUGUUCUACUUGUAGGCUGACAUAGACAAAUUCACCAUUAGACAAGUUGUCAACACACCUGAACAAUCUGAAAUUGUGAACAAAUAGCAUUCUUUUUCACGUUAUGAUAAAAGAAAGACGAUUGGUGAAGCAGCUAAAGAUGACUGAACAGUUUUGUCAAAAUCCAUACAUACGAAUGCAGUUUACAGGUAGGUAAAUGUUGCCUUACGAAACUAUUCAUUAAUCUUUUCUUCAUAUUACUGAUGAUUGUGAAAAGGCUUAUGGGUGCUAAGUGGCUAGAUAAGCUUUACUGUAUGUAUGCAAGUAAAAGUCUAUCUCAUGUAAAAGUUGACCCCCUAGUUUUGGCCAAAAAAUCUGGAAUUUUCCACACAUCUCGUAAAGUCGAACCUAGUUCUUCACAGAUAACAACAGAUCAACAUUUGAGAGUCAAGGUAUUAUCCUGUACAUAAAUGUUACGUUCAGGAAAUGAUUGAGACUGUACGAGAGUCAAAUGUCUGAACUUUUUAAUCAGAAAUAAAAGCUUAAAAUGUCAGUUUGAAAAACUAAGACAAUAGAUGAGAGAAGAUGAGGGAAAUGGAAGAAUGUGGCGCAGAAGUUUAAAAUGCAUCUGGUCAGAGCCGGGCACUCGUGGAAUACAGUCAUAUACCUAGCUGAGGUUUUGAAAUCAUUUUGUGUAAAAAUGCACCCCAGAAAAUACACAAUCUAUAGCAGCAUUUAAACUGAAAAUUAUUAAACUUGUACAGAGGGAAAUAACUAUGCAGCAGCAAGAGAAUUGUGGGUUUCGCAGAAACUUGAGAAAGAUAUCAAGCCAACUUCUUCUUCAGACAAAACAAAAGUGUCCCAACACAGGUAAUCCCAGCAAGUGGCCACAACUGGAGAAAAAAUGUUGAGUAGGUACUUGAAAAUAGCCAAAAUGGAAAACGUGUUAGUUGUAAAGCCAUUUGAAUCCGUGCACUAAAUGAAUCAAAGAAGGAUGAAAUUUUGGAUUUCAAGUGCUGGAUGGUGCACAAGGUCCAUGAGAAGGCAUGACUUAGUACUUUGGCAGAGAACAAAGAUUUGCACAAAACCUGCCUGCUGAACUCUAAGAUAUUACAGGAUUUCAAUGAAUUUUGUAUUUCACAUGUUUAAG